UGGGGAAUAUUGGACAAUGGGCGAAAGCCUGAUCCAGCCAUGCCGCGUGUGUGAAGAAGGCCUUUUGGUUGUAAAGCACUUUAAGUGGGGAGGAAAAGCUUGUGGUUAAUACCCAUAAGCCCUGACGUUACCCACAGAAUAAGCACCGGCUAACUCUGUGCCAGCAGCCGCGGUAAUACAGAGGGUGCAAGCGUUAAUCGGAAUUACUGGGCGUAAAGCAUGCGUAGGUGGUUAUUUAAGUCAGAUGUGAAAGCCCCGGGCUUAACCUGGGAACUGCAUCUGAUACUGGAUAACUAGAGUAGGUGAGAGGGGAGUAGAAUUCCAGGUGUAGCGGUGAAAUGCGUAGAGAUCUGGAGGAAUACCGAUGGCGAAGGCAGCUCCCUGGCAUCAUACUGACACUGAGGUGCGAAAGCGUGGGUAGCAAACAGGAUUAGAUACCCUGGUAGUCCACGUCGUAAACGAUGUCUACCAGUCGUUGGGUCUUUUAAAGACUUAGUGACGCAGUUAACGCAAUAAGUAGACCGCCUGGGGAGUACGGCCGCAAGGUUA
rnacentral:rRNA from 1 species